UAAAGAGCGUGUAGGCGGCCGGAUGUGUCAGAUGUGAAAGCCCUGGGCUUAACUCAGGAAGUGCAUUUGAAACUGUUCGGCUUGAGUAGGGGAGAGGGAAGUGGAAUUCCUGGUGUAGAGGUGAAAUUCGUAGAUAUCAGGAGGAACACCGGUGGCGAAGGCGACUUCCUGGCCCUAUACUGACGCUGAGACGCGAGAGCGUGGGUAGCAAACAGGAUUAGAUACCCUGGUAGUCCACGCCGUAAACGAUGUUCACUAGGUGUUGGGGGUAUUGACCCCCUCAGUGCCGGAGCUAACGCAUUAAGUGAACCGCCUGGGGAGUACGGUCGCAAGACUAAAACUCAAAGGAAUUGACGGGGGCCCGCACAAGCGGUGGAGCAUGUGGUUUAAUUCGAUGCAACGCGAAGAACCUUACCUGGGCUUGACAUCCACGGAACCUGCUGGAAACAGUAGGGUGCCCUUCGGGGAGCCGUGAGACAGGUGCUGCAUGGGCUGUCGUCAGCUCGUGUCGUGAGAUGUUGGGUUAAGUCCCGCAACGAGCGCAACCCUUGUCUUUAAUUGCCAUCAUUCAGUUGGGCACUUUAGAGAGACUGCCGGUGUUAAACCGGAGGAAGGUGGGGAUGACGUCAAGUCCUCAUGGCCUUUAUGCCCAGGGCUACACACGUGCUACAAUGGGUGGUACAAAGAGCUGCAAACUCGCGAGAGUAAGCGAAUCUCACAAAGCCGAUCGUAGUCCGGAUUGGAGUCUGCAACUCGACUCCAUGAAGUCGGAAUCGCUAGUAA
rnacentral:rRNA from 1 species